UACGAAGGUCCCAAGCGUUGUUCGGAAUCACUGGGCGUAAAGGGAGCGUAGGCGGCGUGGUAAGUCAGAUGUGAAAUCCCGGGGCUCAACCCCGGAACUGCAUCCGAUACUGCCAUGCUAGAGGAUUGGAGAGGUAGCUGGAAUUCUUGGUGUAGCAGUGAAGUGCGUAGAGAUCAAGAGGAACACUCGUGGCGAAAGCGAGCUACUGGACAAUUCCUGACGCUGAGGCUCGAAGGCUAGGGUAGCGAAAGGG
rnacentral:rRNA from 1 species